AAUGCAUGCAACAAUAUAUAUAACAUAUGCUCAAAGAAUGACACAUUAGGCAUAGAGAGAAUUUCAAUGAGUUUGAGAAGCACCACCCACCUCGUAGGUCUAUUUAGGUGCUCCGACGAUUUUCUUGAGAUUUUUAGAUCCUUCGUUCUUUACCUGCGGCAAAACGAAGCCCUAUUAGGCCAUUUUGCCCAUAACUUUACAUACACUUUUCGUAAUGCUUUUCCGAGCGCACCAACGCGUCGGGAAUACCCCCAAUUAGAUUUUUAGAGGGUCAAUUGCACUUGAAAACCCUCAUGAGCAAAAGCCCCAAUUUGGUGCCCUAGCUUCAAUACACAUACAAAACCUAGGGUUUGAUCUCAUUGGGAAGCAAAAGUAGCUUCAUUAUACUCUAAAUAGUCCAUUAGAAC
rnacentral:lncRNA from 1 species